rnacentral:piRNA from 1 species
UGACAAUCUCUCAGACCCAGACCUCAA